UGAAGAAUGAGCCGGCGACUUAUAUUAAGUGGCAUGGUUAAAGAAAACCAUCUGAAGCCAUAGCGAAAGCAAGUCUUAAUAGGGCAUAACGUCACUUAAUAUGGACCCGAACCCGGGUGAUCUAACCAUGACCAGGAUGAAGCUUGGGUAAAACCAAGUGGAAGUCCGAACCGACCGAUGUUGAAAAAUCGGCGGAUGAGUUGUGGUUAGGGGUG
rnacentral:rRNA from 1 species